GAAAUGCGAUAAGUAAUGUGAAUUGCAGAAUUCAGUGAAUCAUCGAAUCUUUGAACGCACAUUGCGCCCCCUGGCAUUCCGGGGGGCAUGCCUGUUCGAGCGUCUCCGGGACGAACCCUCGCGCUGGCGAACGCGCGGUAUUGGCUGCGGUGGCGUGCCCGAAGCGGCGGCCACCGCGCUGGAAUCCAUGGGCGGACGCCUGCAGCGUGGCCGAGCGUGAUAUGACACGUUGGCGCUCGCACGCGGCGAGGCUGCCAGCCCUGGCCCGUCCGUCGGGCGGGGUAGAGCAAGACAUGGGAACUCCUCGAAUCAGGUAGGGAUACCCGCUGAACUUAA
rnacentral:misc_RNA from 1 species